UUAUACCGGGAAACUGCGAAUGGCUCAUUAAAUCAGUUAUCGUUUAUUUGAUAGUACCUUACUACUUGGAUAACCGUGGUAAUUCUAGAGCUAAUACAUGCUGAAAACCCCGACUUCGGGAGGGGUGUAUUUAUUAGAUAAAAAACCAAUGCCCUUCGGGGCUCUUUGGUGAUUCAUGAUAACUUUUCAGAUCGCAUGGCCUUGCGCCGGCGACGGUUCAUUCAAAUUUCUGCCCUAUCAACUUUCGAUGGUAAGGUAUUGGCUUACCAUGGUUUCAACGGGUAACGGGGAAUUAGGGUUCGAUUCCGGAGAGGGAGCCUGAGAAACGGCUACCACAUCCAAGGAAGGCAGCAGGCGCGCAAAUUACCCAAUCCCGACACGGGGAGGUAGUGACAAUAAAUACUGAUACAGGGCUCUUUUGGGUCUUGUAAUUGGAAUGAGUACAAUUUAAACCUCUUAACGAGGAACAAUUGGAGGGCAAGUCUGGUGCCAGCAGCCGCGGUAAUUCCAGCUCCAAUAGCGUAUAUUAAAGUUGUUGCAGUUAAAAAGCUCGUAGUUGAACCUUGGGCCUGGCUGGCAGGUCCGCCUCACCGCGUGUACUUGUCCGGCCGGGCCUUUCCUUCUGGAGAACCUCAUGCCCUUUACUGGGUGUGCUGGGGAACCAGGACUUUUACUUUGAAAAAAUUAGAGUGUUCAAAGCAGGCCUUUGCUCGAAUACGUUAGCAUGGAAUAAUAGAAUAGGACGUGCGGUCCUAUUUUGUUGGUUUCUAGGACCGCCGUAAUGAUUAAUAGGGACAGUCGGGGGCAUCAGUAUUCAAUUGUCAGAGGUGAAAUUCUUGGAUUUAUUGAAGACUAACUACUGCGAAAGCAUUUGCCAAGGAUGUUUUCAUUAAUCAGUGAACGAAAGUUAGGGGAUCGAAGACGAUCAGAUACCGUCGUAGUCUUAACCGUAAACUAUGCCGACUAGGGAUCGGGCGAUGUUUCUAUCUUGACUCGCUCGGCACCUUACGAGAAAUCAAAGUUUUUGGG
rnacentral:rRNA from 1 species